rnacentral:rRNA from 1 species
UACGAAGGGGGCUAGCGUUGCUCGGAAUCACUGGGCGUAAAGCGCACGUAGGCGGCUUUUUAAGUCAGGGGUGAAAUCCUGGAGCUCAACUCCAGAACUGCCUUUGAUACUGAGAAGCUUGAGUCCGGGAGAGGUGAGUGGAACUGCGAGUGUAGAGGUGAAAUUCGUAGAUAUCAGGAAGAACACCCGUGGCGAAGGCGGCUCUCUGGAACGCAACUGACGCUGAGACGCGAAAGCGUGGGGAGCAAACAGG